rnacentral:rRNA from 1 species
AUUGAACGCUGGCGGCAGGCCUAACACAUGCAAGUCGAGCGGAUGAAGGGAGCUUGCUCCUGGAUUCAGCGGCGGACGGGUGAGUAAUGCCUAGGAAUCUGCCUGGUAGUGGGGGAUAACGUCCGGAAACGGGCGCUAAUACCGCAUACGUCCUGAGGGAGAAAGUGGGGGGUCUUCGGACCUCACGCUAUCAGAUGAGCCUAGGUCGGAUUAGCUAGUUGGUGGGGUAAAGGCCUACCAAGGCGACGAUCCGUAACUGGUCUGAGAGGAUGAUCAGUCACACUGGAACUGAGACACGGUCCAGACUCCUACGGGAGGCAGCAGUGGGGAAUAUUGGACAAUGGGCGAAAGCCUGAUACAGCCAUGCCGCGUGUGUGAAGAAGGUCUUCGGAUUGUAAAGCACUUUAAGUUGGGAGGAAGGGCAGUAAGUUAAUACCUUGCUGUUUUGACGUUACCAACAGAAUAAGCACCGGCUAACUUCGUG